GAAAUGAUGGAUCAGGUGGAUCCACACUUGAACCAUCUGUAUGAUGAUCUGCACCCACUGGAUCUGUAAAUGGUGGUGCAGAAAGACACAGCACAUCAUUAUAUCGUUGGCUCCGCCCACUGGUGUUCAGUCUAAAGUAGUAGUUGUUGACAAUCAUAAAGUUGUAAUAACAGUAAGAUUGUGAUGUCAGACAAACAUUGUGCUGUUGCUGGCUGUGGGAAAUUAGUGUCUUUGUAAGGGUCGCAAAUAAUUUGAAAAUAUUUAUGUUUCUAAAUAUGCCCCCCUACCAUGAACUAAACUGGACUGUUGCAGAGACCAAGUGUAGUAGGGUACACUACUAUGCAGAAUUCUGGCCUGGUGUUUGGUCCCCCCUUUCUCUGGCUUGUGUCUCCAUCAUCAUUACACUCUUGUCAGUGUAAUAGUAUCGUCGUCUGCAUACCAGGACUUUGUUACUCAGCUGUCCCUUCUCCUUCAAGCUAC